rnacentral:rRNA from 1 species
AGCGGUAGCACAGAAGAGCUUGCUCUUUGGGUGACGAGCGGCGGACGGGUGAGUAAUGUCUGGGAAACUGCCUGAUGGAGGGGGAUAACUACUGGAAACGGUAGCUAAUACCGCAUAACGUCGCAAGACCAAAGUGGGGGACCUUCGGGCCUCAUGCCAUCAGAUGUGCCCAGAUGGGAUUAGCUAGUAGGUGAGGUAAUGGCUCACCUAGGCGACGAUCCCUAGCUGGUCUGAGAGGAUGACCAGCCACACUGGAACUGAGACACGGUCCAGACUCCUACGGGAGGCAGCAGUGGGGAAUAUUGCACAAUGGGCGCAAGCCUGAUGCAGCCAUGCCGCGUGUAUGAAGAAGGCCUUCGGGUUGUAAAGUACUUUCAGCGAGGAGGAAGGCGUUAAGGUUAAUAACCUUGACGAUUGACGUUACUCGCAGAAGAAGCACCGGCUAACUCCGUGCCAGCAGCCGCGGUAAUACGGAGGGUGCAAGCGUUAAUCGGAAUUACUGGGCGUAAAGCGCACGCAGGCGGUCUGUCAAGUCGGAUGUGAAUCCCCGGGCUCAACCUGGGAACUGCAUCCGAAACUGGCAGGCUAGAGUCUUGUAGAGGGGGGUAGAAUUCCAGGUGUAGCGGUGAAAUGCGUA